GCGUAGGGUACGUCGGCGGAUAGUACAAAAUAGAGUAAAAGACUGAGGAUGACCCUCUUUAAUCUGUAUUUAUUGGCUAUCUGAGUUUUCGGGGUGAUAUUUUGAAUUCCUUAAGUAAGGGUUAAAUUGUUAAUAUUGGAAGACAUUCGAAGGCGAAAGCAAUUAUCAACCGAGAUCUGACGCUAGGUACUAAAGUAUGGGUAUAAAGAGGAUUAGAGACCUCGUAGUCCAUACCGUAAACAAUGAGUGUUCAACGUCUUUUAACUUGAUUCAGCGGAUGGAAAAUCACUGAAUUAGGAGUUAAUGGGGGUUUAAAGCUAAGCGUGAAACACUCCGCCUGGGGAAUGUGGCCGCAAGGUUAAACUCAAAGGAAUUGACGGAGACUUGUACAAGG
rnacentral:rRNA from 1 species